CCUACGGGUGGCAGCAGUGGGGAAUAUUGCUCAAUGGGGGGAACCCUGAAGCAGCAACGCCGCGUGGGGGAUGAAGGUCUUCGGGUUGUAAACCCCUUUUGUUAGAGAAGAUAAUGACGGUAUCUGACGAAUAAGCACCGGCUAACUACGUGCCAGCAGCCGCGGUAAUACGGAGGGUGCAAGCGUUACUCGGGUUGACUGGGCGGAAAGAGCGCGUAGGCGGGACAGCAAGCCAGGUGUGAAAGCCCGUGGCCCAACCCCGGGACUGCCCUUGAAACUGGUGGGCUGGAGUGUAGGUGGGGUAGGCGGAAUGCAUGGUGUAGCGGUGAAAUGCGUAGAGAUCAGACAGAACACCGGUUGCGAAGGCAGCUUACCGGGCUGCUACUGACGUUGAGGCACGAAAGCGUGGGGAGCAAACAGGAUUAGAUACCCGUGUAGUC
rnacentral:rRNA from 1 species